ACAACAAACAAACAAAAGAAGAGAGCAGAACAGAUAUGUCAUCUCAAAUGCUGAAUUGCUUUACUGACACCUGUCAAUCACUGCUGAACAACUUGAAGAACCUGAAAUGGAGGGGUAGCAGUGUUUUGAAAGAGCCAGUUUCCACUGUACAUUAGUGUUAUUUGGUGAUGGAGACUGAAUCCAGACAUUGUGCACAAUAAGUUUGCACUACCAUUGAGCUGCUGUGCCACCUAUCAUUUUUUUCUCUCUUCUUUUGAAACAGUGUCUCAUGCUCACUAUGGAUCAGGGGAAGACCUCAAACCAGAAGGUCUUUUGACCUCCACUCCUUAAUGCUAGGAUUGCAGCUUUCCUUUCCUACCCACUAAUUCAGUUCACAGCCUCUCCUUUUCAUCUGGAUCUAAUGCUUCUCCAAGCGAUACCUUUUUGGUGUGUCGGCCAAUUAACUGACAAUCAAGAGAAGGUUCUCUGAGUUCAAGUGACUGAAGUUGUCUGUAGCCACCUGUCCUUUCCAAGACACAGAGGAAGGCAUCUGCAGCAAGAGAGAAUGACGCCACCACACUUAGAAAGAUGCAAAGCAGCCCUGAGAGAAGGCUGAGUUCUGCCAAGCAGUCAUUCCCCGAAGCUGACCUGUCAGGAAGGUUUGGAUUAUGUUGUCUUUGAUAGCCACAAGCCAAUCAGCAUGGGCCCCAGAUGGAUGUGGAUAAGUCAAGCCUGCCAAAACCAACGAGAUUGUGCUCUAAGAUUCCAGUUGUGAGAAGCAUACUUCCUCUUCCUCAUAGAAGCAGGUGGGCUGGAGUCCUUGACAUCUCAGAAAAAGCUUGCUGGGGAUGAGCUACCAGUCAGGGAACAGUGCCAAGAAAUAAGAGGCAUUUCAGUCACACUGAGUGAGUCACCAGACUCUAAGACAGUAACUUGCCUCUGGGUUAAUCACAUAUGUGAGGUAAGACUUUCUUUACCUUUAAUUACUUUAAUGCAGUUUGAAUCGGGCUUUUCAUUAUUUGCAAAGAAUAUUUGGAAAAUAUACUUAUAUGCCUGCAAUGCUGCUUUUAUAAUUACUCAGUUCCAUGAGGUGGGCAGGAGAGUUACACAGAUGUCCUGUUCUUGCAUGCAGUCUUACUUAUUUCUUGGAAUCACUAUGUCUAAAAAUGAAGACUGAAGGAAUUGACUCCCAAGUUUGGUAUUAGAGGAAAUCGGUUUCAGUCUUGGUUCUGACAAUGAUUAAAUGAAUUGGAAUGCAUCCAACUUGUUUGUCUAUAAAAUGAAGAGAUGAGUCUCAAUGAA